CCUACGGGCGGCAGCAGUGGGGAAUAUUGGACAAUGGGGGCAACCCUGAUCCAGCCAUGCCGCGUGUGUGAAGAAGGCCCUCGGGUUGUAAAGCACUUUCAGUGAGGAAGAACGCCUGGUGGUUAAUACCCAUCAGGAAAGACAUCACUCACAGAAGAAGCACCGGCUAACUCCGUGCCAGCAGCCGCGGUAAUACGGAGGGUGCGAGCGUUAAUCGGAAUUACUGGGCGUAAAGCGCGCGUAGGUGGCUUGAUAAGCCGGUUGUGAAAGCCCCGGGCUCAACCUGGGAACGGCAUCCGGAACUGUCAAGCUAGAGUGCAGGAGAGGAAGGUAGAAUUCCCGGUGUAGCCGUGAAAUGCGUAGAGAUCGGGAGGAAUACCAGUGGCGAAGGCGGCCUUCUGGACUGACACUGACACUGAGGUGCGAAAGCGUGGGUAGCAAACAGGAUUAGAUACCCGAGUAGUC
rnacentral:rRNA from 1 species